UGGGGAAUAUUGCACAAUGGGGGAAACCCUGAUGCAGCGACGCCGCGUGAGCGAAGAAGGCCUUCGGGUCGUAAAGCUCUUUUAUAUGGGAAGAUAAUGACGGUACCAUAAGAAAAAGCUCCGGCUAACUACGUGCCAGCAGCCGCGGUAAUACGUAGGGGGCUAGCGUUUUCCGGAAUAACUGGGCGUAAAGGGUUCGCAGGCGGCAAUGCAAGUCAGAUGUAAAAGGCAAAGGCUCAACCUUUGUAAGCAUCUGAAACUGUAUAGCUUGAGAAGUGUAGAGGCAAGUGGAAUUUUUAGUGUAGCGGUGAAAUGCGUAGAUAUUAAAAAUAAUACCGGUGGCGAAGGCGACUUUCUGGGCACAAUCUGACGCUGAGGAACGAAAGCGUGGUGAGCAAACAGG
rnacentral:rRNA from 1 species